rnacentral:rRNA from 1 species
GACGAACGCUGGCGGCGUGCUUAACACAUGCAAGUCGAACGGAAAGGCCCUGCUUUUGUGGGGUGCUCGAGUGGCGAACGGGUGAGUAACACGUGAGUAACCUGCCCUUGACUUUGGGAUAACUUCAGGAAACUGGGGCUAAUACCGGAUAGGAGCUCCUGCUGCAUGGUGGGGGUUGGAAAGUUUCGGCGGUUGGGGAUGGACUCGCGGCUUAUCAGCUUGUUGGUGGGGUAGUGGCUUACCAAGGCUUUGACGGGUAGCCGGCCUGAGAGGGUUACCGGCCACAUUGGGACUGAGAUACGGCCCAGACUCCUACGGGAGGCAGCAGGGGGGAAUAUUGCACAAUGGGCGGAAGCCUGAUGCAGCAACGCCGCGUGCGGGAUGACGGCCUUCGGGUUGUAAACCGCUUUCGCCUGUGACGAAGAGUGAGUGACGGUAAUGGGUAAAGAAGCACCGGCUAACUACGUG